rnacentral:rRNA from 1 species
UACAGAGGUCUCAACCGUUGUUCGGAUUCAUUGGGCGUAAAGGGUGCGUAGGCGGUCGCGCAAGUCGGAUGUGAAAUCUCAGGGCUCAACCCUGAAACUGCAUUCGAUACUGCGUGGCUAGAGUGCUGGAGAGGAGACUGGAAUUUACGGUGUAGCAGUGAAAUGCGUAGAUACCGUAAGGAAGACCAGUGGCGAAGGCGAGUCUCUGGACAGCAACUGACGCUGAGGCACGAAGGCCAGGGGAGCAAACGGG